rnacentral:misc_RNA from 1 species
GAGCUGGCAGAGUCUCUGAGCAAGCCUUGUUCUCCUUGUACUCUGUUCGACGCUGCACACCCAGCAGUCUACUCCAGCUCGACCCUUCCCUUCGCCUUCGACGACCCCGUCCGCCCGCAGUCAUCCCAUCCCGCGCGGUCACGCUCUCAUCUCGACUCUCGCUCAGCUGGCUCGCGGACAAGGCUACUUCACUCCCGCCGACACCACCCCGCUCGACUCGACUCGACCUCCGAACAAGGUCAUCCAGCCGCUUCGACCCAGUCACUCUCGCGCACUCUGCGCCACUUGAGUCGAGCCCCUUCCUCCUCGGACUCGUCCACCUCGUCGCCCUCUCUUCUCUCUCUCGACCCAACGAACGAAACACACGAUGAUCUUCCCCGUCACCAAGUCCAUCCACGCCUGAACGGGCAUUCCUCUCUCCUCCAACCCGAGUCGCUCAACUCCAGCCGCCACUCGGUAUCACCGCCUCACCCAC